rnacentral:rRNA from 1 species
GAUGAACGCUGGCGGCGUGCCUAAUACAUGCAAGUCGAGCGAACAGAUGAGGAGCUUGCUCCUCUGACGUUAGCGGCGGACGGGUGAGUAACACGUGGAUAACCUACCUCUCAGACUGGGAUGCCUGCGGGACACCGGAGCUAAUACCGGAUAAUAUCUUGAACCGCGUGGUUCAGUAGUGAAAGACGGUUUUGCUUUCACUCAUAGCUUAAUCCGCGCCGCAUUAGCUAGUUGGUAAGGUAACGGCUUACCAAGGCGACGAUGCGUAGCCGACCUGAGAGGGUGAACGGCCACACUGGAACUGAGACACGGUCCUGACUCCGACGGGAGGCAGCAGUAGGGAAUCGUCCGCAAUGGGCGAAAGCCUGACGGAGCAACGCCGCGUGAGUGAUGAAGGUCUUCGGAUCGUAAAACUCUGUUAUUAGGGAAGAACAAAUGUGUAAGUAACUAUGCACGUCUUGACGGUACCUAAUCAGAAAGCCACGGCUAACUACGUG